rnacentral:rRNA from 1 species
GACGAAGGAUGCAAGCGUUAUCCGGAUUCAUUGGGUUUAAAGGGAGCGUAGGCGGAUUUGUAAGUCAGUGGUGAAAUCUCUCGGCUUAACUGAGAAACUGCCAUUGAUACUGCAGAUCUUGAGUACAGUUGCCGUUGGCGGAAUAUGACAUGUAGUGGUGAAAUACAUAGAGAUGUCAUAGAACACCGAUUGCGAAGGCAGCUAACGAAACUGUAACUGACGCUGAGGCUCGAAAGUGUGGGGAUCAAACAGG